AGAGGCCCAAGUUGAUAGACUCCGGCGUAAAGCGUGGUUAAGAUGAAUUUUAAACUAAAGCCGAACACCCUCAGAGCUGUUAUACGUUCCCGAGAGUAAGAAGCCCAAUCACGAAAGUGGCUUUAUACCAACUGAACCCACGAAAGCUAUGACACAAACUGGGAUUAGAUACCCCACUAUGCUUAGCCCUAAACAUUGAUAGUACAAUACAACUACCAUCCGCCCGGGUACUACGAGCACCA
rnacentral:rRNA from 1 species